UACGGAGGGUGCAAGCGUUAUCCGGAUUCACUGGGUUUAAAGGGUGCGUAGGUGGGUUGGUAAGUCAGUGGUGAAAUCUCCAGGCUUAACUUGGAAACUGCCAUUGAUACUAUCAAUCUUGAAUACCGUGGAGGUCAGCGGAAUAUGUCAUGUAGCGGUGAAAUGCUUAGAUAUGACAUAGAACACCAAUUGCGAAGGCAGCUGGCUACACGAAUAUUGACACUGAUGCACGAAAGCGUGGGGAUUAAACAGG
rnacentral:rRNA from 1 species